ensembl:misc_RNA Y_RNA Y RNA
GACUGGUCCCACAGUAGUGGGUUAUCAGAACUUAUUAACAUUAGUGUCACUGAAGUUGGUAUUCAACCCUCCACUGCUAAAUUUGACUGGCUUAA